GAUGAACGCUGGCGGCGUGCCUAAUACAUGCAAGUCGAGCGAACAGACGAGGAGCUUGCUCCUCUGACGUUAGCGGCGGACGGGUGAGUCACACGUGGAUACCCUCCCUAUAAGACUGGGAUAACUUCGGGAAACCGGAGCUAAUACCGGAUAAUAUCUUGCACCGCAUGGUUCAAUAGUGAAAGACGGUUUUGCUGUCACUUCUCGAUGGAUCCGCGCCGCAUUAGCUAGUUGGUAAGGUAACGGCGUACCAAGGCAACGAUGCGUAGCCGACCUGAGAGGGUGAUCGGCCACACUGGAAGUGAGACACGGUCCAGACGCCUACGGGAGGCAGCAGGAGGGAAUCUUACGCAAUGGGCGAAAGCUUGACGGAGCAACGCCGCGUGAGUGAUGAAGGUCUUCGGAGCGUAAAACUCUGUUAUUAGGGAAGAACAAAUGUGUAAGUAACUAUGCACGCCUUGACGGUACCUAGUCAGAAAGCCACGGCUAACUACGUG
rnacentral:rRNA from 1 species